CACGUUCGAACGGUUCGAACGUGUUAACGCAUUCGAACGUAAACGACCUUGUUUCGUUUGCCGCUGAACGUGGUUUCCUGUUAGGAGCGCGCGGUGAUAAUGGCCACUCGUCAAGAGUUUCAUACGUUGUAGCGUUUUCAGUACAAGAACAGUGUUACUUCUUUGGCGCAGUUUGAACGAUACAGUGCGUUGUUAUAAAGAGACGACGAGACGGACCGGGGCUAGCUGGUUAGCAUGCUAACUGGUGGAAGAAAAGAAGUGACAGAAACAAGAUAGUGUUAGAAACAAAACAUUGGCGUUGCUUUCCACCGCUCUUGGCAUGGUGGGCGGCUGGACCGCUGGGUUAAAUCCCCCAUCCACUCGGAGAAUCUGGACCUGGGACUCAGAGCGAGGCCUCCCCUCCUUCAUCAUCCCCCCUGUGAGGCUCCUCAGCGGCAGACUUACGGUUGUACUCUGCAGCUCCCAGGGUCUUUCUACACGAUUGCCGCAUCUUAAUUCAGGACCAGAUCCUUCAGCGGAUGCAGCCCAGAAAGGCGUGACCCCUGGAUGACCCCAAGAAUUGUCUGGACCGGUGCUGAAGAGACGGUGAAGUUUCAUAGAGAUGCAAAAUACAGGUCGUCCAGCAGCUCUUCACGAGGGGGAGGUGAUAACAAGCUCACAGACACGAGGCAGAGACAGACACUCUGUGACCUUUGACCUCCCUGUGUGUGUGUGGACUUCUGCUGCACAUGUAGAAACAAUGGUGUGAAGGCUGUAGCUGCACUGUGUGGGUGAGUUGCAUUUUUUAACUAUGCAUCAUGAUCCCUUAAAGGGUCCAACAGUGUUAUAGAGGGCAAUGCUAAAUCUAUGGAGCGCUCUAUCUAAUCUUAA